CCUACGGGAGGCAGCAGUGGGGAAUCUUGCGCAAUGGGCGAAAGCCUGACGCAGCAACGCCGCGUGCGGGAUGACGGCCUUCGGGUUGUAAACCGCUUUCAGUGGGGACGAACCAAGACGGUACCCACAGAAGAAGCCCCGGCCAACUACGUGCCAGCAGCCGCGGUAACACGUAGGGGGCGAGCGUUGUCCGGAUUUAUUGGGCGUAAAGAGCUCGUAGGCGGUUCGAUAAGUCGGGUGUGAAACCUCCAGGCUCAACCUGGAGACGCCACCCGAUACUGUCGUGACUAGAGUCCAGUAGGGGAGCGUGGAAUUCCUGGUGUAGCGGUGAAAUGCGCAGAUAUCAGGAGGAACACCAGUGGCGAAGGCGGCGCUCUGGGCUGGAACUGACGCUGAGGAGCGAAAGCGUGGGGAGCGAACAGGAUUAGAUACCCUGGUAGUCCACGCCGUAAACGUUGGGUACUAGGUGUGGGGUCUUAUCAACGGAUUCCGUGCCGCAGCUAACGCAUUAAGUACCCCGCCUGGGGAGUACGGCCGCAAGGCUAAAACUUAAAGGAAUUGACGG
rnacentral:rRNA from 1 species